GUAGGUGGCAAGCGUUGUCCGGAAUUAUUGGGCGUAAAGCGCGCGCAGGUGGUUCUUUAAGUCUGAUGUGAAAGCCCCCGGCUCAACCGGGGAGGGUCAUUGGAAACUGGGGAACUUGAGUGCAGGAGAGGAAAGUGGAAUUCCACGUGUAGCGGUGAAAUGCGUAGAUAUGUGGAGGAACACCAGUGGCGAAGGCGACUUUCUGGCCUGUAACUGACACUGAGGCGCGAAAGCGUGGGGAGCAAACAGGAUCAGAUACCCUGGUAGUCCACGCCGUAAACGAUGAGUGCUAAGUGUUGGGGGGGUUUCCCGCCCCUCAGUGCUGCAGCUAACGCAUUAAGCACUCCGCCUGGGGAGUACGGUCGCAAGACUG
rnacentral:rRNA from 1 species